AGCCUACGGGAGGCAGCAGUGGGGAAUAUUGCACAAUGGGCGAAAGCCUGAUGCAGCAACGCCGCGUGAAGGAAGAAGGCCUUCGGGUCGUAAACUUCUGUCCUUGGGGAAGAAGAACUGACGGUACCCAAGGAGGAAGCCCCGGCUAACUACGUGCCAGCAGCCGCGGUAAUACGUAGGGGGCAAGCGUUAUCCGGAUUUACUGGGUGUAAAGGGGGCGCAGACGGCGAUGCAAGCCAGGAGUGAAAGCCCGGGGCCCAACCCCGGGACUGCUCUUGGAACUGCGUGGCUAGAGUGCAGGAGGG
rnacentral:rRNA from 1 species